GAUGAACGCUGGCGGCGUGCCUAAUACAUGCAAGUCGAGCGAACAGACGAGGAGCUUGCUCCUCUGACGUUAGCGGCGGACGGGUAAGUAACACGUGGAUAACCUACCUAUAAGACUGGGAUAACUUCGGGAAACCGGAGCUAAUACCGGAUAAUAUAUUGAACCGCAUGGUUCAAUAGUCAAAGACGGUUUUGCUGUCACUUAUAGAUGGAUCCGCGCCGCAUUAGCUAGUUGGUAAGGUAACGGCUUACCAAGGCAACGAUGCGUAGCCGACCUGAGAGGGUGAUCGGCCACACUGGAACUGAGACACGGUCCAGACUCCUACGGGAGGCAGCAGUAGGGAAUCUUCCGCAAUGGGCGAAAGCCUGACGGAGCAACGCCGCGUGAGUGAUGAAGGUCUUCGGAUCGUAAAACUCUGUUAUUAGGGAAGAACAAAUGUGUAAGUAACUAUGCACGUCUUGACGGUACCUAAUCAGAAAGCCACGGCUAACUACGUG
rnacentral:rRNA from 1 species